AGUGAAGCGGCAACAGCUCAAAUUUGAAAUCUGGCCUCGGCCCGAGUUGUAAUUUGCAGAGGAUGCUUCUGGCGCGGCGCCUUCCGAGUUCCCUGGAACGGGACGCCACAGAGGGUGAGAGCCCCGUAUGGUCGGACGCCAAGCCAGUGUGAAGCUCCUUCGAAGAGUCGAGUAGUUUGGGAAUGCUGCUCUAAGCGGGAGGUAUACGUCUUCUAAAGCUAAAUACCGGCCAGAGACCGAUAGCGCACAAGUAGAGUGAUCGAAAGAUGAAAAGCACCUUGAAAAGGGGGUUAAACAGUACGUGAAAUUGUUGAAAGGGAAGCGCCUGUGACCAGACUUGCGCCGGGCGGAUCAUCCAGCGUUCUCGCUGGUGCGCUCCGCCCGGCUCAGGCCAGCAUCGGUUCUGGCGGGGGGAUAAAGGCGGCGGGAACGUGGCUCCCCCGGGAGUGUUAUAGCCCGCCGUGCAAUGCCCCCGCUGGGACCGAGGUUCGCGCAUCUGCAAGGAUGCUGGCGUAAUGGUCACCAGCGACCC
rnacentral:rRNA from 1 species